rnacentral:rRNA from 1 species
CUUCCGUAGGUGAACCUGCGGAAGGAUCAUAG